rnacentral:rRNA from 1 species
UGCGAGUCGAGCGCGAUAGGGGCAACCCUUAGUAGAGCGGCGCACGGGUGCGUAACACGUGGAUAAUCUGCCUGAGUGCUCGGGAUAACCUGUCGAAAGAUUGGCUAAUACCGGAUAAGCCCACGGUUUCUUCGGAGACUGAGGGAAAAGGUGGCCUCUGUAUACAAGCUAUCACAUUCAGAUGAGUCCGCGGCCCAUCAGCUAGUUGGCGGGGUAAUGGCCCACCAAGGCAACGACGGGUAGCUGGUCUGAGAGGACGAUCAGCCACACUGGAACUGAGACACGGUCCAGACUCCUACGGGAGGCAGCAGUGGGGAAUUUUGCGCAAUGGGCGAAAGCCUGACGCAGCAACGCCGCGUGUGUGAUGAAGGUCUUUGGAUUGUAAAGCACUUUCGACCGGGAAGAAAACCCGUUGGCUAACAUCCAACGGCUUGACGGUACCGGGAGAAGAAGCACCGGCUAACUCUGUGCCAGCAGCCGCGGUAAUACAGAGGGUGCAAGCGUUGUUCGGAAUUAUUGGGCGUAAAGCGCGUGUAGGCGGCGUGACAAGUCGGGUGUGAAAGCCCUCAGCUCAACUGAGGAAGUGCGCCCGAAACUGUUGUGCUUGAGUGCCGGAGAGGGUGGCGGAAUUCCCCAAGUAGAGGUGAAAUU